rnacentral:rRNA from 1 species
GAGACGCUGGCGGCGUGCCUAACACAUGCAAGUCGAGCGGAGUCGAUCGACGGAAGCCUUCGGGCGGAAGAUGGUUGACUUAGCGGCGGAUGGGUGAGUAACGCGUGGGCAACCUGCCUCGAAGACCGGGAUAACAGCCCGAAAGGGCUGCUAAUACCGGAUGUGGUCAAAGAUCCGCAUGGAUUUUGAUUAAAGGGGAAACCCGUUUCGAGAUGGGCCCGCGUCCUAUCAGCUAGUUGGUGAGGUAAAAGCUCACCAAGGCGACGACGGGUAGCCGGCCUGAGAGGGUGACCGGCCACACUGGAACUGAGACACGGUCCAGACUCCUACGGGGGGCAGCAGUGGGGAAUCUUCCACAAUGGGCGAAAGCCUGAUGGAGCGACGCCGCGUGAGCGAAGAAGGCCUUCGGGUUGUAAAGCUCUGUCUGGAGGGACGAAGGAAGUGACGGUACCUCCGGAGGAAGCCACGGCUAACUACGUG